UUUUUUUAUAUAUAUUCAGCUCUACACUUAAACAUAUAAUAUGUUAUUCUUUAUUCUAUUGUAGGCACAAUAUGACUUACAUGAUGAUUGGCAAAAAAAGAUGUGCUUUGAAAUGAUGGCAGAACUAUGGAGAGCUGGGAAAUCUAGACUUGUAAAAGAUAUUAUCAAUGCAAAAAAUGAGAAUGAACGACUAGCCUUAAAGCCGGAUUGCAUAAAAAGUGAUGUAGAAUGGAGAGCAUUUGUUGCCAAAAAAAUUAGUAAAGAUCAUUUGGAUAUAAGGGCCAAAUGCCAAGAGAGAAGAAAGAAAGUUGUUCCACACACUUUAAGUCGAAGAGGAUAUGCUCGAACAAUUGAUGAUAUG